AUGCCUGUUGCUAUUCGUAAGAAAAGCUGGGAGGAUCAUGUGACCCCACGGACAGGAUUACAGUACAGCUAUGAUGACCUAGACUUGGUCUGCUGCCAUAUGCGGUACCAGCGCAGUAGGUGUGCCUCGAUGCCUGAGUGUGGUCAUCACCAGCCUUGGACUUUGGGACUUUGGAUCAGAGAUGGUACAAGAACGAUGGAGAGUAUAGUGCAGAAGUUUAAGGGUGGAGCUCAACCUAACUGUGAAGGCUCAAAGUGCAAAUCAUUGACGCCUGGAGACACGGUCAAUGAAAAAGCACAGCACAAGAGUGACCAAGAUAGCAGGCUACCUUUAGACAACGUGGCAGAUCAAGAUGAAUUGGAAUGUUCUGCUUCAGGAAAUUUUCAGGCUCACAAUGGAGAUCCAGAUGAUAAGGAACUAAACAAGGAUAAAGUAUCUGCUUCCCAUAGCCUGACACAUUCUGUGCUUCCUACCCCAGUAUUAGCUCAAAUAGAAGAAACAAAUGAUUUAUUAAAUGUGCUGAAGGACAGUCACUCUGUCAAAGUUGACUGUUCUGAACCAACUUAUCCCAAAAGUGGAACUUGCACAGAAAAUAAAGAAUCAAUAGUGAAGGUCAGUGUGGGCAGUCAGAUGUUAGUACAUGAGCACAUGAGUGUCACAAGUGAGAUCACAGACAUAACUAAUAAACCUCCCACCUCUGAUUCACAGCAGAAAUCUGCUGACCCAAACAAUAUUGUGGAAGGACAAUGUUGUGAAACGUCUGAACAGACUAUUUUAACAUGUGGCAAAGUCGAAUGCUCACACACAGAUGAAACUGUGAUCCCAAACUUGUUAUCAUUGACAGCUUCUCAAGAAAUUCACAUUCCAGAAGCUAGCUCAGAUGCUAAUAAAGCAAGUCUAGUGUGCAAACAUCACGUAGUAUCUAAAGGUCAAGACAAUGAAAAUCAGGAAGGUAAUGGCAUUUUUAAAUGUUGCGAUCAUGAGAUGUUAAAAGUUGGAAGCCUUAAACCACCUGCUUGUGAAAUGUCUCAACUGGAGCCAUCUGGAAAAACUGACAUCAUGGAAACGUGUCAUGAUUGCUCAUCAAAACUCCAAACCAUCCAUGAGGGCUCCUUUCCUGAAUCUGGAGAUGAUGCUUCUGGUCAGAUAUCAGCAGAGAUGCCAGAACAUCCAAGUACAAACCUAAACACCAUCAACUGUGAGAAUUUGAGAACUUCAGAGGAUCAAAACACGAGGGUAAAGGAGGCAACAAGAGGAAAACCUCAACCUGAAGGACACUAUGAUGAACAUCAGUCAAACCAAUAUACAAAUACAGCCAAAGACCUUGAGAGUGUCACAAAAGCUGAAGGUUCCCUUGUAAAGCUUCGUACAAGGAAGGUAAGAUGUUUUUCAUAG
rnacentral:lncRNA from 1 species